rnacentral:tRNA from 1 species
ACUUAUAUAGUUUAAAAAAAACAUUUCAUUUUCAAUGAAAAAUUAGAAAAAUCUUAUAAGUU